rnacentral:rRNA from 1 species
CCCUUAGAUGUUUUGGGCCGCACGCGCGCUACACUGAUGAAUUCAACGAGCUCCUAACCUAGGCCGAAGGGUCCGGGUAAUCUUUGAAAUUUCAUCGUGAUGGGGAUAGAUUAUUGCAAUUAUUAAUCUUCAACGAGGAAUUCCUAGUAAGCGCGAGUCAUCAGCUCGCGUUGAUUACGUCCCUGCCCUUUGUACACACCGCCCGUCGCUCCUACCGAUUGAAUGGUCCGGUGAAAUGUUCGGACCGCGACAAGGCGGACGGUUCGCUGUCAGCUUUGCUGCGGGAAGUUCAUUAAACCUUAUCAUUUAGAGGAAGGAGAAGUCGUAACA